GCGGGUGCAGCGCGCUCCGGUCCGCCAGCCCCGCGCAGCAGCAGGCACCAUGCUCAACAGCCUGGCGGAGGGACGGGACGGCGAGAGGGGGCGGCCCAAGGUGCUGGGAACCCCAAGG